ensembl:lncRNA
CCUGGGGUUCCUGGAUUUUGCGGGGAGGUGAGCUGUGUCAGCAGCCUGGGCUGAGACUGGAUAUGGGAUAGCAACAGAGUGUGCGAUGCACUGGGUCUCUGGUGCAGUCCUGGAUUCAGAUGACGCCUGUCAGAUACACAUCUGAAAUCCAGCCCAUGGGAACUUAAAGGAGUUCUUCAAACUAAUGACAGCUGUAGCAUUGGAGAAACCAAGAUCAGUCUGACAGACAGCAUAGACAGCAGAAAAUCCUCAGUAGCAGAAGCUAUUUAAAGUCCCUGGCCCAAUAUCGAAUCCUCAUAUUUGGCAGUAGCAGAUUUCAGCUGGAUUUUCUGGGCAGUGCACAGAAGGGAUGUAAAGAUGACAAAAGUAUCUCUCUUCAAGAACAACAUUUUUCCUUUGGGAACUACAAAGACUGGGUGCGUAGUUGGGUUAUGUGAUCAUGGAGGUGAUGGAGGUGCCAUGCUGAGCAGUAACAAUGAGCAGAGGAUAUCAUCCUGGAGGAAAUCUGUACCUUGCACUGUGCACAACCACUAUUUCUCAGCUCAAGGCUCUUGUUAGACCUGCUGCUGUUUUGGAAUAAAAACUGUAGUGAAAAUCA